rnacentral:rRNA from 1 species
UAGGGAAUAUUGCAUAAUGGGCGAAAGCCUGAUGCAGCAACGCCGCGUGUGCGAUGAAGGCCUUCGGGUUGUAAAGCACUUUUCAGAGGGAAGAGGAAGGACGGUACCUCUGGAAUAAGUCUCGGCUAACUACGUGCCAGCAGCCGCGGUAACACGUAGGAGACAAGCGUUAUUCGGAUUUACUGGGCGUAAAGCGCGUGCAGGCGGUUUGGCAAGUUGGAUGUGAAAGCUCCUGGCUUAACUGGGAGAGGUCGUUCAAAACUACCAGACUUGAGAGUGAUAGAGGAAGAUGGAAUUCCGGGUGUAGUGGUGAAAUGCGUAGAUAUCCGGAGGAACACCAGUGGCGAAAGCGGUCUUCUGGAUCACUUCUGACGCUCAGACGCGAAAGCUAGGGUAGCAAACGG